rnacentral:rRNA from 1 species
AUUGAACGCUGGCGGCAUGCUUUACACAUGCAAGUCGAACGGUAACAGGGAGCUUGCUCCGCUGACGAGUGGCGAACGGGUGAGUAAUGCGUCGGAACGUGCCGAGUAGUGGGGGAUAACGCAGCGAAAGUUGUGCUAAUACCGCAUACGUACUGAGGUAGAAAGUGGGGGACCUUCGGGCCUCACGCUAUUCGAGCGACCGACGUCUGAUUAGCUAGUAGGUGAGGUAAAGGCUCACCUAGGCGACGAUCAGUAGCGGGUCUGAGAGGAUGAUCCGCCACACUGGGACUGAGACACGGCCCAGACUCCUACGGGAGGCAGCAGUGGGGAAUUUUGGACAAUGGGCGAAAGCCUGAUCCAGCCAUGCCGCGUGUCUGAAGAAGGCCUUCGGGUUGUAAAGGACUUUUGUCGGGGAGGAAAUCCCCAGCGCUAAUACCGCUGGGGGAUGACAGUACCUGAAGAAUAAGCACCGGCUAACUACGUGCCAGCCGCCGCCGUAAUAC